GAUGAACGCUGGCGGCGUGCCUAAUACAUGCAAGUCGAGCGAACAGACGAGGAGCUUGCUCCUCUGACGUUAGCGGCGGACGGGUGAGUAACACGUGGAUAACCUACCUAUAAGACUGGGAUAACUUCGGGAAACCGGAGCUAAUACCGGAUAAUAUAUUGAACCGCAUGGUUCAAUAGUGAAAGACGGUUUUGCUGUCACUUAUAGAUGGAUCCGCGCCGCAUUAGCUAGUUGGUAAAGUAACGGCUUACCAAGGCAACGAUGCGUAGCCGACCUGAGAGGGUGAUCGGCCACACUGGAACUGAGACACGGUCCAGACUCCUACGGGAGGCAGCAGUAGGGAAUCUUCCGCAAUGGGCGAAAGCUUGACGGAGCAACGCCGCGUGAGUGAUGAAGGUCUUCGGAUCGUAAAACUCUGUUAUUAGGGAAGAACAAAUGUGUAAGUAACUAUGCACGUCUUGACGGUACCUAAUCAGAAAGCCACGGCUAACUACGUG
rnacentral:rRNA from 1 species